UCCUGGUCGCUUGAUAGUAGUUAAUGAAC
rnacentral:piRNA from 1 species